rnacentral:tRNA from 1 species
UCGGCACGACCGACAGGAUCGGGAUGGCCUGAAGGGCCACCAGGUAGGGAUAGGUCGAGCGUUCGACCCACUUGGCCUGAG